rnacentral:rRNA from 1 species
GAUGAACGCUGGCGGCGUGCCUAAUACAUGCAAGUCGAGCGAAUGGAUUAAGAGCUUGCUCUUAUGAGGUUAGCGGCGGACGGGUGAGUAACACGUGGGUAACCUGCCCAUAAGUCUGGGAUAACUCCGGGAAACCGGGGCUAAUACCGGAUAACAUUUUGAACCGCAUGGUUCGAAAUUGAAAGGCGGCUUCGGCUGUCACUUAUGGAUGGACCCGCGUCGCAUUAGCUAGUUGGUGAGGUAACGGCUCACCAAGGCAACGAUGCGUAGCCGACCUGAGAGGGUGAUGGGCCACACGGGGACUGAGACACGGCCCAGACUCCUACGGGAGGCAGCAGUAGGGAAUCUUCCGCAAUGGACGAAAAUCUGACGGAGCAACGCCGCGUGAGUGAUGAAGGCUUUCGGGUCGUAAAACUCUGUUGUUAGGGAAGAACAAGUGCUAGUUGAAUAAGCUGGCACCUUGACGGUACCUAACCAGAAAGCCACGGCUAACUACGUGCCAGCAGCCGCCGUAA